rnacentral:pre_miRNA from 1 species
AGCAUGAUUGCUGGAUCGUAUGAUAAGAGUAUGUUCAGUUUUGUAAGAAAUUGCCAAACUUUUUUCCAAAGUGGCUGUAGCGUUUUGCAUUCCCACCAGCAAU